AUCUUUCGUUUUUUCUUCAACCGAUUAUCAAAGUGAAGGAAGCCAUUUUUGUUCAACUAGGGUUUGACUACUUUGAAGCUCAAUUGCAGAGAAAAAGGUUGAAAAGUGUAAACAGACGCAUGAAAAGGUUAAGACUGGAGAUGAAAGAAAUAAGUGAAGAGCAAAAAGAGAUAAAAGUUGGGCAAAAAAUGGUAAGAGAAAAAUUUGAAGCCAUUGAAUUAGAAUGCGAGGAACUUCGAAAGGAGACUAUCCUUAUAACACAACAAACUGCGAACACUCAAAUCCGCCUUGCUCUUAUGUUCCAAAUCUUGAAAGCUAGACAAAACCAAGAGCUUGACAAGGCAACCAUACUCACGCAUGCUCUUCGUGACUUGAUAGAGAGAGGGAACCAACAAAGGAAGCUUUGACGGCAGAGGAUCUUGCUGCUACAUUAUGGUCCUCAUCGUAUUGUAUUUUUUUUUUUUAAUAAUUUCAGGAAGUGUGGACAUGUUUGUUUGUAAAGUUGCCUUCAAAUGGGUCUCUUCCUUUGUUUGGUUUGGUUGUUGUUUACCAUCUGUUUGGUCUUGGUCAUGGACAUGGUUGAUUUACUUAACUCAUAUUGAAUUAUCUUUAAUGCAAAA